rnacentral:rRNA from 1 species
UACGUAGGGGGCAAGCGUUGUCCGGAAUUAUUGGGCGUAAAGGGCGCGUAGGCGGCACGACAAGUCGGAAGUGAAAGCCCGGGGCUCAACCCCGGAAUGUCUUUCGAAACUGUCGAGCUAGAGUGCAGAAGAGGCAACUGGAAUUCCCAGUGUAGCGGUGAAAUGCGUAGAUAUUGGGAAGAACACCUGAGGCGAAGGCGGGUUGCUGGGCUGACACUGACGCUGAGGCGCGAAAGCCAGGGGAGCGAACGGG